GACGAACGCUGGCGGCGUGCUUAACACAUGCAAGUCGAACGGAAAGACCAUGCUUUUGUGGGGUGCUCGAGUGGCGAACGGGUGAGUAACACGUGAGUAACCUGCACUUGACUUUGGGAUAACUUCAGGAAACAGGGGCUCAUACCGGAUAGGAGCUACUGAUGCAUGGUGGGGGUUGGAAAGUUUCGGCGGUUGGGGAUGGACUCGCGGCUUAUCCGCUUGUUGGUGGGGUAGUGGCUUACCAAGUCUUUGACGGAUAGGCGGCCUGGGAGGUGGACCGGCGACAUGGGGACUGCGAUAGGGCCCAGACGCGUACGGGAGGCAGCGGUGGGGAAUAUGGCGCAAUGGCGGGGAGCGUGAUGCAGCAGCGCCGCGAGCGUGAUGACGGCCUUCGAGUUGUAAACCGCUGUCGCCUGUGACGAAGCCUGAGUGACGGUAACGGGUAAGGAAGCACCGGCUAACUACGUG
rnacentral:rRNA from 1 species